GACGAACGCUGGCGGCGUGCUUAAUACAUGCAAGUCGAGCGAAGUUAUCAUGAAAGCUUGCUGAUUGAUAACUGAGCGGCGGACGGGUGAGUAACGCGUGGGCAACCUGCCUUUCAGCCCGGGAUAACAGAGCGAAAGAGCUGCUAAAACCGGAUAACCUUCUUUGCAGGCAUCUGUGAGGAAGCAAAAGGAAUGCUGAAAGAUGGGCCCGCGUCCCAUUAGCUAGUUGGAGAGGUAACGGCUCACCAAGGCGACGAUGGGUAGCCGACCUGAGAGGGUGACCGGCCACACUGGGACUGUGACACGUCCCAGACUACUACGGGAGGCAGCAGUAGGGAAUUUUCGGCAAUGGGCGCAAGCCUGACCGAGCAACGCCGCGUGAGGGAAGAAGGUCUUCGGAUCGUAAACCUUUGUCUUUGGGGACGAUAAUGACGGUACCCAAGGAGGAAGCCACGGCUAACUACGUGCCAGCCGCCGCCGUAACAC
rnacentral:rRNA from 1 species